rnacentral:rRNA from 1 species
AUUGAACGCUGGCGGCAUGCCUUACACAUGCAAGUCGAACGGCAGCACGGACUUCGGUCUGGUGGCGAGUGGCGAACGGGUGAGUAAUAUAUCGGAACAUACCUUGUAGUGGGGGAUAACUAUCCGAAAGGAUAGCUAAUACCGCAUACGCUCUAAGGAGGAAAGCGGGGGAUCGUAAGACCUCGUGCUAUAAGAGUGGCCGAUAUCUGAUUAGCUAGUUGGUGAGGUAAAGGCUCACCAAGGCGACGAUCAGGAGCUGGUCUGAGAGGACGACCAGCCACACGGGAACUGAGACACGGUCCAGACUCCUACGGGAGGCAGCAGUGGGGAAUUUUGGACAAUGGGGGCAACCCUGAUCCAGCAAUGCCGCGUGAGUGAAGAAGGCCUUCGGGUUGUAAAGCUCUUUUGUCAGGGAAGAAACGGUUGUGGCUAAUAUCCAUGGCUAAUGACGGUACCUGAAGAAUAAGCACCGGCUAACUACGUGCCAGCAGCCGCGGUAACAC